UCAGAAUCUGGUAGAGCUCCUGGAGCUUUGAGAACUAGAUUAAGUAAUUCCUGCAAGGCAAACCAAGUGAUGAUGAGCUCUCUCAGCUUCUGUUUGUCUGAUAAACUUUCUAUUCUCUCUCACUUCUGAAGGAAAGCUUUGCCAGGGUUUCAUUCAUUUUAAAGCUAACAGAAAAACAACAGAUUUUUAUAAUUAAGUUCCUGAGAAACCAUGAUAAAUACAGCAUUACACAUACUGUCGAUGAUAUUUUGGAUUUUGUAAGACACCAGAGAUCAAAACAUGCCAAAUUGGACUUCUUGUCAUUGUCUAUACAAACAAAACUCACAGACAUCAAAGCCACUAUGACCAUGCUGCUGAUGCAAGGACUGGUCAGAGUGGCCUUAUCUGAUGCUGGUGAUCUCUGGGAUUGUUUAUAUAUUGUUUGCAUUCAACAGAAGAACAACAUGGCCUCAAUGUGGGUGCCAGACCAGCUUUGGGUAUCUUUCCUUCAAAGGAUGACAUACAAUAAAAACAUAUAUGGGAUGAUUACUAUUUGCUUCCAAGAAAAAUAUUGAAGUUUGCUAUUUCUUCAUCUCAAGGUAUGAGAAAACAAAUGUUUGCAUCAGAGUGGUAAAAGAGCUAUAAUAAUUUCAAAUUAACUAAAUGUUCAAUGGCCCUUUCCUUCAGAAAAGUAAAUGCCUCUGAUUUUGUACAACUAUUCUUAAAGUCACACUUUUCUACUCCUUAGACCAUAUAGCAUUCACAGCAUUGUCUUAGGAAAAUAAUGAAUAUAACAGAAGGCUUGUGCAAAAUGUAAAAUAUGCCAUCUCUUUGAGGAAUUGUGACUUUAGCAGUGUAAUAUACUAAUAUUCCAAAAUUGUAGAGAUACUUUUAUUUUUGUAGUUUGUUUUUAAAUCCCUAACUCUUCCUUCUGUGUAUGGAAAAAUCUAAAAGCUGUGAUAAUGAAAUCAAUUUCAUCCAAUACAACAUGAUUUAUAAUGCCUUCUGUACUUUGUAUUAGUUGAGGACAAGGUCAUGAAUCAAUGUAGAUGAAGGUUUUAUUUAACUUAAGCAUCAGUGUUUUUCCUCUGUCAAAAUUUUACUUAUCAGGCUAAUAUUUGAAAAGCAUUCUAAACUUUUUUCUGUUUCUCAAAACUUUAGCUGGAAAUAUUACUUCCCUGUGUUUGGUUGAGCAGAGUAGUAGGCAGUUCUUUGUUACUUAAUACUGUUUUAACAUUUCCUUCACUGCAAUCCCUCUAUUUUAAUAGCUUUAACAAAGGUCACAUUCAGAUUAGCUCAAAUCUAUUAGAGUACACUAUAAUAUGUUGGUUUUUCAUUGAAAAUUUAUUUAGACAUCCAUCUAGGAUUUUAGACCUUCAACCCAAGGAAAAUUUAUAUGAAUACAAUAUUUUUUGCCAUUAUUUACAAAAGUAAUAUAAAGGGUUCCUUAGGCAAUUACUUAUUCAGUAGUAGGAUUUGGAACAGUCUACUUACUAUCAUGUAAUUAUUUCAAUGUGUUACAGUUUUCUUCUGAUUGUAAUUAAUCUCUUUGCAUGAGUAUCAGAUAGAAUGACUAUCUGAUUUGUGGUAACCUGCUGGACUCACAGUGUCCAGUCUGCAGGUGGAGAAAAAUAAAUAUUUUUAUAAGAAAAAUGAAGCCUUCACCUUACCAGAUAAUUUUCACUUUGUCUAAAACAAUACUUUUUUUAUGUUUGAUGUAAUUUUUCACUCAAUUAUAAAGAGUUUUCUCUUCAACAGGAGAACCAAAUCCUUAAUAAAAUCAUUGAGUUUAAGAAGUCUCAAGGGAGAGAUCACAGCUAAUGUCUACUAGUUUACUAGAGGUCCAAAAACAGUACUAUUCACUGGCAAAUACUCAGAAUAUAUUUUUGAUUCGGUUAGAAGUGGUCUGAGUGGUUGUAUGAACUUUAUUUCUAUUUCUACCCUCAUCUCCAACAAAUUCAGAUGACUGUAUAUUAAAUUUUAUCUUAUUAAACUUCAAAUAUUUUCCUGAUUUGAAAGUAAUUUUUGUCAUCUCCUCAUUUGAAGUCACAUAUAAUUCAUGAUUAACUGUGAAAAAGUUUGAAUUUGAAUACUUUCCAGUCCCUUCUUCAGAGCACUUUUGAAUGCUAGCCUCUUGAUCACUGCAGCUGCAAUUGUAAAUAUAUACUGAGCUACCAGAAUCACAGAUAGCACAAACUCUUUAUUUUUUAAGAACCUUAAAAUUCAUUAUAAUUUGCAGGUAAA
rnacentral:lncRNA from 1 species